rnacentral:lncRNA from 1 species
AGGGUCGACUUCGCCAAUGCUUCGACCCACCUCCUGCCGUGCCUCCUGCCGGAUCUUGGGGACCGAGAGGGAACGACGGGAAGGGCACCCGCGGUCUCGUCCUCACACCGGUCAGAGACAGAGACACCGACUUCGUUCACCCGACUGCGUGGACUCCACGGCGGCGACGGAGGCAAAUACGGUGGCACAGGAGUAGCGCCUAACCCAGCGCUGGAGGAUUCGCGCGGUGCCUUGGAGGCAUCACAGACAGAGUGCAGCCGUGCAGGUGAGGGUGAGGGUGAAACAUAGAACAAGGUAAAAUUUGUGUCGCCGCCCUUCCUCAACAAGCCGCUCUUGCGCUCCUUUGCUUUCGAUCCAAGCGGCGCCCCACCUGACGAGUCACAACAGCCAGACCCGUUCCUGCCCCUUCAAGGUCCAGGAGUGUCAGCGGCUUCCAUGGAAGCUGCGCCAAGAAGGGGCUUCUAGUUCUCGCGGCAAGGAGAAGGCAGCAGGAGGAGCAGGCCUGCCGUCGACGGACCUGCAUGUGUGAAAGGCCGCAGGAGGAGCAGAGUAGCAGACCUAUCUAUGGCACUGCAUCCGAUCUGCCACAACUACUGCAACUUCAUGGCCAAGUACGUAGUCUUAUUUUCCCUCCGUGCUCUUGGCUCGGUUUAUGUUUCUACUUUCUAACAAUCGUUGUCAAUUCAGUUGUUCCUAUUUUGUGAGAUUGAUUACUUCCUAUUAUUCUUGCUGCUUAUCCUCUGAAAUAGCCAUGGGAAGGCAUAUAACAGAUUUUCAUUUAACAAUGCCCAGAUCGUAUAUACAGAUGAGGCCUAGGACUUGUGUGUGAGUAACGAGAUGUGCGAUAGAUGAAUUCACUGUAUUAACCUAGGUUUUUUUUUCCUGUGCUUGGGCAAUAACUUUUUAUUUUUCUGACUUUAAUUAACUCAUUACAAAUGCUUUGGACAUGAUGUACUCUCUUGAUGAUGUUGAAUGAAUAUUUUGGGGAAAAUUCAUACGGCCUUGUAUGGAUUGGUGUAGUGAGGUCCUGAGGAGCUCUGAGGCGGUCUGUGAGAUGGUCAAAUUCACAAAUAAUUCAGUGUAAAUUCAUACCAUUCUCAUUUUUUCUGGAGGCCAACAUGAGCUUGAGAAGAGCACCACUCCUGUGGUGAUCACAAAUAAUUCAGUGUAAUUUUCUUACAUACAAGGGGUAACAUCUGUAGUAGGAACAGAGCCAAACCUUUUGCUUAGUUCCUUAUGCUUGUGUAACUGUAGGUUGCCCGCGAUGAAUUUCUGUGAUUUUGCUCCCAUUUGAACUUAAAAAUUAAAGUUAUGGUUUAUUUCAGCUGUCCUCUCAUUUCAGGGUUUCUCUAGAUGCUCUGCUACGUGCUCUUGCUUCAAUUUUUCCUAUCAUUAUUAGGAUUAAAGAAUCAAAUCCAAUUUCCAUAUAGUCAAAUGUAUACAUUUUACCUGCAUGUGAUUCUGAUUGCUCUAUGACUAAGUACUUCUGGUUUUUCUUUAGUCUCCAGAAUCUGUCUUUGGUUUCGUUUGUGUGGAUUAUUCUAGAUGCAACUAUGUGUUCCCCCAUCUAUGCUCUAAAUCUCUGUACUGCUAUUCCAGAUUCAACAAUGUGUUCUGAGCACAAUAUGUAAAAGGAAAAAUUACUAAAUUGUGGACACCAUCGGAAAUCAUAUAUCAAAUGGAAGAAAACUAUCCUACUGUUCCUAAGUCUACUUCAGGCCGUAUUGAAUUAGAAUUCUAAUGAUUUGUAGAAAGAAUAUGAGGUUGUAGAGAUUAUCAUAGAAAGAAUUUUUGAAGAUAUCUUGAUUAAUAGGUCAAAAUAUUGUUAGAAUCUUGAUCAGAGAUAGCCACGUAUCUGAAGAAAACAGGAUAAAUAUAAAUUUAAAGAUAACGACAAAAUUAUAGUUAUUGAUAUACAAGAGAUCAACUUGUGAUGAUAACACCUGUUGUACCAGUUUAAUGUACAAGUACAUGAAAUUCAGAAUAUCUCUGAGAAAUGAACACUCACUUUGCAGUAUUUUAAUGCUUAGGCAGCUUUCUUCCGGGUUGUUAAAAGAAAUACAUUUAUGAAAUAGUUUGGUACUUGAAUCCUUAUAUAAAAUUCAAUAGUACCAAAAUCUAUUUCUGAAUGCUAUGUUUAUAAAUGUCACUAUGAAAUAGACUGUCAGUUUAUUUAGCUAAAUGAAAAAAUGACAGAGAGCUCACAAUGGAAAAGGAGACAUGACCAGAUUGGUGCAGAUGCAGAUAGAUUCUUUGUCUGCCUGCCACCAAAGAGAUGGAAAAGCAGGUUUUUGCAUGACUUGAAUAAACUGCAAGGUGAAAUUAUCUUUCCACUGUAUCAUGACAAUUAAUAGUCAUUUGGUUGCUUGACAGAACUAAAAGAUGUCAGAUCCUUUAUUUUUUUUUUCAAAAGAUUAGAUCCUUUACUUUCUGAUGACAUACAUGCUUAUUCAAGCAUGUGUGUUUCUGAACUUUGGGUUUAUUGGAAUGUUUGUUUAUUGCAUGACAUUUCAGGGGAAGGGACAACCUGUGUUUGCACCAAAAAAAUAGAUGAAGAUGGCUCAAGGAAAAAUGAUUGCCUUGUGUCAAAAUGAGGCACAAGUAGGCCAAUAUUGUAGUCCAUAAAAAGGGCACACUAUUAGCGUUAGCACCACGCGAGACCAAAUAUUGUUCGAGAAUUAACUUUGGACAUAAUAUGACCCGUAGCUUUAGCACGUGCACUGAUAUCUGCUGUUAACUUAUAUACUAUGUAGUGGCUAUAUUACUCAUUUUUGCAUGAGGUAGCAUUGCAAAUAAGUUAGGCAACUUCUUAUACGGUUCUGAACUAUGUUAAUUUGCAGCUCCCUCUGCGAGGACCUGACAUUGCACACUUGGCACAAGGUAUAACUAGAUGACUUGAUUCAACCUUUGGAGGCUUCAUGCUGCCUCAUGUCAAAUUCAGGAACUAGCCGCGCAAGUGCAUAAUCUUUAGCGACCACUUCCAUAUUAACUGUUUCCGUUACUGUUUCCUAUGUCUUGGAAUGGAUUGUCCUACCAUACUAACUGUUGGGCAAAGAGUAGAAGCAAGUCAAGGGCAAUGGAACUGCAGAAGAGAAUUGUAUCGAUAGCCUCUUCUAAAGUGAAGCAUCUCUGAGUUUGUUCUCUUGAUCCCUCCACUAUAGCCGAUGGCUUCUUGUGAGAUCAGAUAUAAAACCGUGUUAUUGUUAUAUCACUGUUUUGUUGUUUUUAUGCGCAUCCUAAAAUGAUACCGUAGCGUUAGCACGGGCACUAUACUAGU